ensembl:lncRNA
AUGGACAGCUGGACUCUCCAGGGGGACAGCUACUCCUUCCUGCGCAGUGCGCCCCGCACCUUUGCCCUGUGCCAUCGUGACGGCACCCCGAACCACGUUGAAAUCUUCGACAUCAUCAACGUACCUAGUCAGCGCAGUGCAAUUUCCGAAACUACCUGCCUGUGUGACAUUUUUGGAGACGACUGUGAGUCACCCUCCCUCCCAAGAAGCCCUGCUGUAGCGGCUUUUGUCCCUUCCCAGAGGGAGGUGGAUGGGACAGCUGCUGCAUCACCCCUGGUUGAUGAUCUGAACGACUCCUCAGGCUCUUACCACACUGCACAGGGCUCCAGUGAAGGAGAGGAGGGCUUUGAAGAUUCAGGAGAAAGGGUUUACAGCCCCCCCUUGCAGAGUGAGUCUUCAGAGAGGCCUGAGGGCGAGGGACAGAGCUCAGGGCAUCAAGAAGUUUCUGAGGACAGUAGCCCCAAUUUAGAACCAAAAAGUAAAUCACCUGAGACUCAGCUUAGUAGGGCUCACAGCCCGUCAUCUGAAAUUCUCAACACUGGUGAGAGGACCCCCUCUCUUGGAAAUAACAGCCCCUAUAACCUGAGUCCAGAGGGGAGAAGGUCAUCCUUAUCUUAUUCCUCAGUUGAAAAAAGAUGUUCACCAUCGCCACCUAAUCCCAGACAAGUGCAUUCAGAAGCUGAUCCAAGGAGAAUUGCUUCUACUGUCAAAGAUAGAUUCAACAGCCCUUCACAUCAGUCUUUAACUCCAAGUCCCUCCUCUGAACCUAGGAACUGUGUCAGCUCAUGCUCUUCUGAAUCAGUGAACACCCACGCUUUGCCUGAAUUCAGGGUAGCACAAAUCUCACCUGAGGCAAGGAGCAGCGACUUUAAUCAACACAGCAGUCCCUCACCUGAGCCCACAUCCAAAGAUUUUUUUCUAGAUUUGACAGAAUCAGCCUUUGAAUCUAGAGCCCUCUGUUCAUCUCCUUUACCUUCAUCCAGUAGUACAGAUUUAUCCCAGUCAAGAGAAACACUGGUCUCUCCUGAGCUGAAGAAUAGGUCCUACUCCCCUGAUACUCAAGCACCAUCUCCUUUUCCUGAGCUAAGAAGGAGAGUCUCCCUGCCUGAUCUCUUCAGCAGAGGCUUCACACCUGAUAUUGAAAAUUCUACCCACACCCCUGAGCUGUUUUCAGAUUUUUGCACUGCAGGAAGGGACACCACAACUACUCCUGAGAGCCAAGAUACCAGCUUAUCAGUUGAACCGGUCAGCACUGUGUCUACACCUGGCCCACGAUACACUCCUCCCUCACCUGCAAUAGCAACAUCUCCUGAGCUUGCGUGGAGUAGUGUCUCACCUGAAUUAAGUCACACAGCUCCUUCACCUGGCCUGCUCAGUGCUGUUUCUCCAGCUAAAACUGGGACAAGAACUCCCUCUCCUGACCCCUUACGUAAAAUAAGACAUAUUUCAACUCCUUCUGAAAUCGGGACCCAGGUGUCUACAUCUGAGGUAAGUUAUAGUUUAUCUCCAUCACCUGAAGUUACGAGCAACGGCUUUCUCAUCGAGCACAGAUAUACUGCUCCCUCACCCGAAAUCAGGAUUACAGCCUCCUCACCUGAGGUCAGUAGGAGAGAGCAGCCUUCUGAGGUGGAGACAUCAGCCUCGCCUCUGUUAGAGCCUCACUUUGACUCUGCCUCAUCAAGAAGCCUCACUUCGUCCCCUCAUAUCACAGGGAUUUCUUACUCUGUUGUUCAGCCUGAGGACAGGGGCACUCCCCCAUUUCCUGAGCUCUUACGUCUCUCCACCCCUGAGCCUAAUAGGACACGUGUGUCCCCUGAGGCAAGGAGCCCUGCCCCAAGCACAGACAGUAUACAGAGCAGUAUAGCAGAGUCCACUGGUACACCACGAGACUCACCUCAUAUUUUAGGCUUAACAAGCUCUGUCCUGCAGCCUGAAAUAAUUCAGUCACAUCAACCUAGGUACAAAACACCUUCACCUCAGCCACAGCAUUACACUCCCUCACCUGAACCAAGAUAUCAAACCCCUUCAUCUGACCAGUAUCAAAGUCCCUCACCUCAGCACAGAGGUAAAGAGCCAUCACCUGUUGCCUCAACUCCUGAGCAGAGGUGUCAUCAGCAUUCACCAGCAAAACUCUCUACAGAGCACAACCCUCAGUAUACACAGUCUACUCCUUCUGUAAGAAAUACACCCGAGGUUGAAGUGGAUUCAUCUUCAGGUGACAUUACAGAAACAAAGUACCCCACACAUUUGGCUAAAGAGAGUGUGUCACCCUCAUUUGAAUCAGACAGGGGAGACAAAUCAGUUGUAACUGAAAUCAAAAGCAGAUCACCAGUGGUGGUAGUUCAUUCAACUAAAUCUACUUCACCUUACUUAGCAGAGGAAAAAGUAGACAGUUCAUUGAAACAACAAAGCACAGAGAGGGAAGCAACACCAAACCUUCAGGAUAACUCAAGUGUAGCCUCCUUGUCUGAGGAAAAACAAGCAAUUGGCCCAACCAUUUUUCAGAAAGAAGACACUUAUAAGAAUCCCCCCAUUGGAAUCAAGUCUCCUUCUCCUAAUCGUCUAGUCUCUAAAGACAGAAGUCCAUCCAACUCCGCUGUGCAGAGACCGGAAAACCCACAGCCUCAAUUCACUCCUUGUUCCCUAACUCCUGAAAGCAGCAGUUCAUUAAAAUCACUUUGUACACCUGAGCACGUGAGAAGACAGCUGUCAACCAGCGUUAGACGUGAAAACCAAGAGAGGUUCACAGAGGACAUGGCCCACCAUGUAAACAGACGGCGGACACCCUCUCCACCACUCACCAGGUUUACACCUGUGCACAUUAUAGCCCCUGAGAAACCAUACAGACAGUGGCAGAACAGAAGCCGUAGCCCCUCUCAGGUUGUAGGAUCCUCACCGAGUGGUAAUUUAAAGAAAGCGGUGACAAAUAGGGAAAGCCCCAAUGUUGACCCUGUUGACAAUAAUAGCCAGGCCCACUGGGUCAGGCUAGGAACGCAAUUGGAGAUGGAGAAGGAAAUGCAGCUGGAGGAGGAUAGAGAGGUAGGUAGGGAGAGGCAAAUGGAUAGAGAGAUGGAGAGAGAGAGAAAGAGGGAGGAGCGGCUUCCUGAAAAGGGGAAGGGGUGGCAGGGGGACACCAGUUACAGGGGAGAACAGGUUGAGCUGUCAUUCAAUGCCAGGAAUAGAAAAGGGCCUGCAAGUCGCAGAGCAGCUCCCACAAGCAGAGAGACCCGUCAGGGACUGCCAACAGUGCAUUCCUAUUCAGAGGGCUUGCUUGCCACCAGACAGCUACAGCAACAACAAAGUCUGCUUAGACUUGCUUCACAACAAGACACCAGGGGUGGUGGUUCCAGCAGACGGCUUCAACAUCCUGCAUCCCAGAAGAAGAACAGUGGUCCUGGACGCGUGUCCAUAAACAGGCCCUGCCAGAGUUCCAGCUCCAGCAUGGGAAGUGAGCUUGAUGAGGCAGACAAUGAGGUGAAGUGGUUUACAGACUUGGCUUUCAGCAGCCUGUCAAGCCCUGAGGUAGAUUACCUUGAUAUGUACAACUCCAGUCACCGUUCAUCUACCAACAUUUCUCAACCAUCUACGCAGGAGAGCCCAGCUGGGCUCAAUGCUGCUUGGCUGGCCUAUGCUGACUUCAGGGGUUCUGCUCCAAAGUUGGACAAUGAUGAACUCUCCUUCCAUCAACCAUCUGCAUACUACUCAGAUGGCCUAGAUCCAUCAAGGCGCUAUGAAAUGGGCAGCUUUGAGUGCGUAGAUGUGGCUGUGGAAAGAGAUGACUCCAGGAAGGUGAGAAGAGGAGUGCCAAAGAGACAGAUCCAGCUGAAGAGAAAGGAUAAUGCUGAAGGGACGCAGGAUGAGAGCAGUGAAAAUAGUAGUCCUGGAGUACCAGUGAUGGUGGACAGCCCCUCUCUAGAGAGAAACUCCAGAGAGACAUUCGUGAGACAACACAGUACACCAGCAGCAAUGCAAGAAUGUUACCCUUUUGAGCACAACCUUGAGCCCAGUCAACAAAAUGAAAGAAAAUCCAGACUCCAGAAAUCUGCUUCUCUGGAUGAAACAUGCACUAAAACCAAGAUGGCCUCUUGUCUCAUCAAGAGUGUGUUGUCCAAGAGGAUGCAAAGUGGUGAUAAACAACCUGAUGAGCAGGCAGAACAAAAAGUGAGCCCCACUUCUGAGGAAAACAGCCCAUCACCCGAGUCCCCAAAACCUGACAUUCAUAAUCUGAGUUCCAGUCUUCCGUCAGAUUAUAGUCUUUCAUCUGAGGGGCUAUCUGUGAGAGGAGAACAAAGCGCAAAGGACGAAGCCAAACCACCAAAGAGCUUUGGAGUGAGAUCCAAUAACAGGCCAAGUUCAUCCAGCAGCAGCAAAAGUGUUAACUUUUCACAAACUGAGAGUGAAGAAGCUGAUUCUCAAAGAAGGAAUUCAACAUCAUCAAGAUCUGAAAUGAGAUCAGAACUGAAAGUGCCACUUGAUAGUAAACGGUCAAGAGCUGAAGUACAACAAGCAAAUGACAGUAAAACAUGGGACGGAAGGGAGGGGGAUGAGUCAGCAAAUGCCACUGCCGGGAACACAGGAGCUCCUUCUGCCACUGGAGCCAGCAGCACGCAGGCCAGGGCGACAAAUAGAGACCAGGAAUGUGAAAACACAUUGGACCAUAAACAACCACAACAGGGUGACAAGGGUGGCUACACAUCAAAAACACAAGAGAUUACACUCAAAAGCAAAAAGAAAGCCUCCCUAAAUGUUUGUCUCACACCUGAAGCAGAAAACAAAACUUAUGCUUCUUCACCAGACAUGUCUUUCAGAGAGAAGGAGGAAAGGGUAGACACCAGUGUAGAGAAAACAGAGGAAGAAGAAGGGAAUGUUAAGGUCCCCAUUCACAAAGUUAGAGAUGUGAGGCGACUUGUAAAAAAUACAUAUAAUCUGUCCUUCAAGGCAACUAGUGCUGUAAUACCAUCACAUGUCAAUGAGGAAAGAAUGGAACAUUUUAAUGAGAAAAAAAGGGAAGCAAUAAAAGAGAAAAGGAGAGAAGAGGUCAUUGCAGGGGAAGAGACUGUGUUAAGGCAAGAGAUAAGGAGGGAGGAGGGGAGUUCAGAGAGGGAAGAGGAGUUCAGAGUGGAGAGGAAAGAGGAACCAAAAGAGGAGGUAAAAGACUCAAAGCUGCAGACAUCCUCUCCGUCUCCUCGGAGCAAAGUAAAUCCCUUGUCUCGUCCACAGCCAAUGCAAAUAGAAUACAAGGCUGUCUGCUGGAAAGAAGACAAAAAUAAAAUGUUCUGCAGCACAAAAGACUCAGAGAAUCCAGGUGGCAAACACCAGGCAGAUCCAAAGCAUGUCAUCGAGGUAAGCAGAGAUUCACAGAAGUCCUUGAAUGCAGAUACACAGAAUUACAAAACAGGAGACACUGCAACUGCCAUGCCAUGUCAACAUGACCUAAACAUGGCAAGAGAAAAACAAGAGACUAUGAUAGAAAUGCAUAAAGUGCCCGACAAUGAGGACAAACCUGUGGUGGUUAGAACAGACAGAAAACCUCCCAUUCUUGGAAGUCUCCCCAAACUGCCCAGUAAGGAAAGAGAGGUGUCCACUGCUGUAGUGUUAAUAAAGGAUGGAUCCAGCAAGACCAAGACAUCUCCAGCCCAAGAAGAGAUUCCCACCCCACUCCAGGCUCCAGCUGCUUCACCCUCACCUAGGCCCACUACCCCUGGCAGCACCCCUGGUAGCAGCGGUCAUUCAGUUUCCAUGUUAUUAAAGGAGAAAGGCUACCAAGCUGACAUCGGAGCAGUGGUGGGUGACAACCAGAAUGCAGCUGGAGGUAAAGGGGUUCCCCGUAAGCAUGUAAACUGCCUAGAGAUCCCCCUUCAGACCAUCACUCCUUCAGAUGGAAGUCAAAUCGAGUCUCAUAGAGAGAGGACAUUCUCCUCCUCAUCUACCACGUCUGGCCCUUCAGCAGUGUCUGACAACACAGACACCCUUACAAAGACCAGAGAAGAUGAGGGAGGGAGCAUUAAGCCUACUGUAAAAGACACAGCAAAGCAAAAACGUUCUUCUCCACUAAGGAAUAUGCUGGAGCAAACACCACCUCCCACCAAACAGAAGGAACUGGGAGAUUUUGAAGCUGUGAAAAGACAAGAUCCAACUUUCCCCCCAAAGUCCCCUGCGAUAAGGAGGUUCAGACCACAGCCAAUUGAGGUUAAGUCACUGUCUAAAGACAUACAGAAACAAGAGAUGCCCGCAAACUCUACAGGAAACAAUAGGCCUCAAACCAUUGAGGUCAAAUCUGUAGCUAAAAAUUUUCAAAAGCCAGUUGUGCCUCCAAAACCAAGUUGCAAAUUUAAACCUGCAGAUUUAGGAACAAUGCCUGAUGAAGCACAGAGACCAUCAGCAACAACAACAUCAACUGUAAAACCACAAGGUGAGGAUAGGUCUCAAACAAUUGUAGUGUCCUCACCUACAAUCUAUAGAAAGAUAUCCAAUGAGUCCACAACAACAUCAAACUAUACAAGAAAACUAGCUGUGUCUGCAGUAUCCAGCCUCAAACCUCCACCUUGCAAAACCACAGCCACCCCCAUCUCCAAUCUCUCAACCCAGUUAACAACACCAUCAGAGACAGAGCCACCUAAUGAAAGGGUUCAGCAGCAAAAGCUAGGGGCCUCCUCUCAGAGCUCUAGUUAUACACAAAGACCCACAACUUUAGCGAUAGCCCUAACAUCGGGCUCUAGCCCAAGUUUAACCUCAGGUCCAGGUCCGGUUUCUGACCCAAAAACGAACCCUGUCCAAACCCAAGUCUCAGCCGACGCUAACAAGCCAAGCCAGCCAGCUGUUGUGGAUCCAGAUACCCAACCACAGUAUCCCAGGACUGCAUAUCCUCAUGAACAAGCUAUGCCGGUAACUUCAAACUAUACAAAACAACCAGCUGCUGUUUCCACAACACAAGUGCCAGGAUACACACACCAGCCAUACCACAGAUCACUAGCCAGUGAGCGCUCCCAAAGGACAGAUGAGCUGCGUUUUUAUGCCUCAGAUGACCCUCCAAGCUACGAUGAAAGAGAAAGCUUUAGUCCCCUCAUGCUCCCAGAUCUGACCCACAGGAGGUCAAACCGCUAUCAACCCUCCUCCCGCCCUCUUCCCUGCUCCUGCACAGCUGGCUGCCCUUCCCACCCUGGUCUGACCCCUCCUCACCAUCACCGCAGCCCCCAUAACCUUACCCCCCCUGCCCCUCCACACUCUCCAGGCCACACACUGCCUUACCCAGUGGCUCAGCCCUCUCUCCGUACCCACCAGUGCAGACCUGACCCUCAGCAGAUGAGCUACCAGCUCAGCUCUCCCAAAUCCAGCCCUCUUGGUCCAAGCCAGCCACCGGCCAUGUACCAGCCUCUCCACCAACCUCCUCCCUGCCCUCCCCACCCAUCACUCAUGCAGGCCUGCCCUGCAGACCGCCCAUUGCAGCCACCACAGCAUACUGACCCUCGACGACCCCCUGUACAUAGAUCCCCCCAGCAACAGCCACCAGGAAUGGCUGGGGCUCCUUACAGUGAAACUGGCCACAGCCACUCUCCUGGCCUUCCUCCUAUGGAUCCCCAGUACCUAUGUGGCCCUCAAAGCCUGGGGCCUUCGUAUGGCUCUGAAUAUGGGGGUGACGGCUCCAGUUUGUACUCAGAGAGUAGCUAUGGACAAACACCUCGCAGAGUUCUCCUGGAUCCUGAGACAGGGAAGUAUUUUUAUAUUGAGGUGCCUGUACAACCACUGAGGAAAAUGUUGUUUGACCCAGAGACUGGUCAAUAUGUGGAAGUGCUCAUCCCACAGCAAGCAAUGUCACAUUCAGGCCUUUAUCCUCCUUCAGCAGCUCCCUACGCAUCUCUCCACAACCCCAACAUGUACGCCCCUGCUCCUCAGUACGUGCCCUAUGCAGCUCCUCCUCCCCCAGCUCAUCCCCAGCCUCAGCCCCAGCCUCAGCCCCAGCCACCCCGAUAUCCUGAGGCCUCUGCUGCAGCAACAAUGCACCCAAGUGGGCCUGGGGUCAGUUACAGGAAUUCCUCUGGUCAGGUGCCCAAGCCAGAGACACAGAACCAUCCACCACUGGACCAGAGCUACCUGGAGAGUAUGUAUUAUGUGCCUACAGGGAUGAAUGCGAGCCCCAAUCCCACCCCACCAGACUAUUACCACAAACAUCCCCCCAACCUACCCCCAACAGGGGGGAAAAGAUCCUGA